rnacentral:lncRNA from 1 species
CUCGUUUAAAUUGUUCUACAUUUGCAAGUUCGGGGUCUUUUAUAGCUGACUAUGUGGUAUGGGUUUGCUCACUGUUAUAGAUUGUAUGGUGACCUAUAGCUGUUAACUUCUAUGUUAAUUGGUCUCUGAUGGGGAACUUUCUCAUUGGCAAUCAUACCACAUGUUUUUUUUUUGUUUUUUUUUAUAAAAAUGUUCUUUAUUAAAAGCCGAUCAAUACAGUUCUUAAGUUUGUGAACAGUACAGGUUGUGGCUGUGGGUGGAUUGACUGAAAUCUUACAACAUUAUUUCCUGGACGCUCCUUUGUAUAGAUAGGCACGCGAACGCUUAAAAUUAAACUUUUUGUUUUGCAAUGAUUCUGUGUCUGAAGAUUAAAAUGCUAAAAUAUUCAAAUCGGUUUAGCUUUACAUGAACCAAACACUGCGCUUUGUCACAAAUUUAUCCCAUUUUUAAUUGUUCAUGUUUAAAAUUUCUUAAUUUCAAUUUUAAUUCUUGCCCCCAACCAAACCCUAUCGGUUUGAUCCAUUUCCUUUUUAAUUGCUGUUUCCUAUUUGAUUGUCAUUUUCUUCUUUUCCCUUUUUUUCUGAAAUAAACUUCAGUAGGCAACUCCUACAUGAAGCAUAAUUGUUUGUUUCCUUUUUUGAUUUAUACAAUUGAUUUUGUUUGUUUUAACACUUAUGUUAUUUCUUAAUAUAUGUAUAGCUGUCAGGUGUAUGUGAACUACAAUGUUUGAAAAUGUUCUUUGUGUAAGUGGGAAAAAGUCUUUUGUUUAUUUCGCAAUAAAACAUUUUUGCUUUAUAUAUAUAUCUACAGUCAAUU